GGGGGGGGGGGGGGGGGGGGGGGGGGGGGGGGGGGGGGGGGGGGGGGGGGGGGGGGGGGCCCAGCUCCUCAGGAAUUCUCCAGCCCCUUCCCAGCUCCUCAGGAAUUCUCCAGUCCCUUCCCAGCUCCUCAGGGAUUCUCCAGCCCCUUCCCAGCUCCUCAGGGAUUCUCCAGCCACUUCCCAGCUCCUCAGGAAUUCUCCAGCCCCUUCCCAGCUCCUCAGGAAUUCUCCAGCCCCUUCCCAGCUCCCUCAGGAAUUCUCCAGCUCUGUUCCCUGCUCUGGACACUCUCCAGCCCCUCCAGGCCUUUCUUCUCAUGAGGUUUCCACAACUGGACACAGCCCCUGGGGUCCCUCACCGGUGCCCAGCACACUCAGGACAAUCCCAUCCCUCUCCUGCUCCCACACAAUUCCUGAUCCAUGCCAGGUGCCUUUGGCAUUCUUGGCCACCUGGGCUCACAGGAGUUUCUGGGAUGUCUCUGGAGGUCCUGAGGUCACUGUAGAAGCUGAAAACAGAAUUUUUGUUUUUGCUCAGUUUGGCUUUGUCUCUGUCUCGUGCACAGAACACGUGCAUCCCUCCCACCUCCCCCGCUGUGCUUGGCUGGUUCUCCUGGGCAGGGUGAAAAUGAGGGAACUGGUUCCUGAUGGGAGGCAGUGGGAGCAGCUCCCGUGGGUCCUGUGCCUCCAAUCAUCUGGCUCCUCCUUCUGCUGCUCCCUCAUUGAAACGUUAAAGGAGGUUUCAACCUUCUGGGCUGAGCUCAGAUUUGCUGGUAGGGUUGCAGGAAAUGCCUGGGAUGAGCAUUGCCAUUUUCUCUGGGCGGGUUUGGAGCUGCAGGCAGCAGCUGGUGCUGGGAAAGGCUCGUGGAGGAGCAGGAGCCUUUCUCCAUCUCAGCCAGGCUCUGGUGCUCCUCUUUCCCCGCUUUGGUUCUGUGCUGAUGGGAGCUGUGCCCUGGAGAACAUGGAAUUCCAGAGCCCUGGGAGCUGCACUUUAUUCCCAGUGCAGGUUCUGUGGGAUGUCACCAUCCAGAAUUCCAGAUCUGAGCUGGAAAUGCUGAACUAGAACCAUAAAUUUUCAUAUUUAACCUGCCUGAGAACUCCCAGUUGCUGCAGGAACCCCUGGGUGAUGAUCCCAGUGAUGAAAUCUCAUUGCUCCACCAUUCCAGAACCUCUUAGACCAAGAGCCACUCCCUGCCUCAUUUUUAGAGCUGGCUUAUCUUUGAGGGCAUCAAAAAGUUCCAAACGAGCUCAAAUUGUCCUUUUCUGGCUUUGAGGCAGCUUUGGUGGUUCUGAGAGGGCUUUAAAGAAGGAAGAGAAUAAAAAGCAGCCAAAACCCCUCAGCCACGUGUGCCUGGCGUUCAGCAGAAGUGAAAAUUGAGUCUGAGCCAGGCUGCAGGAGCCACCUGUGUGACAAAAGUGACCUCAGUGAGAGCUGUUGGGGUGGCAGACACGAAAAGGUCAUUGUAAAAAUAGAGAUGAUUGUGUUGUUCUGCUGCUGGGGGAAAAAAAAUAACAUUCCUGAAAAAGCCAAGGAAAAUAUCAGCUGGAAACGUUGGUUGCUGGUUUUCUCUGAGGAUUCCCAGAGCUUUUGAUCAAAUGUUGAUUGCGGGUUUUCUCUGAGGAUUCCCAGAGCUUUUGAUGGGAGCAGAAGUUGGGUUGUGUCACCCAGGAAGUUCAGCUCGUGGUUGGGAAGGUUUGGAUUCUGGGGUGGGAAGAUCAUUUUUAGCUGGGAUGGUGGGAAUGGGGGAGGUUUGUGGGAUCUCAGCUCUUCAUGGGCUUCCCACCUCCAAGCCCAGCUGGUGCAGAGUUUGUGGAGUCUCCAGCCUUGGGGAUCCCGUGUCCAGCUCUGGGGUCAGCAGGGACAGGAGCUCCUGGAUCUGCUCCAGGGCAGGGAUGUGAGGAUGAGGAAGGGCUGCAGCAUCUCC
ensembl:lncRNA